GAACGCUGGCGGCGUGCUUAACACAUGCAAGUCGAACGCACCUUCGGGUGAGUGGCGGACGGGUGAGUAACGCGUGAGAAUCUGCCCUCAGGAGGGGGAUAACGGCUGGAAACGGCCGCUAAUACCCCAUAUGCCGCGAGGUGAAACGAGUUUUCGCCUGAGGAUGAGCUCGCGUCUGAUUAGCUAGUUGGUGGGGUAAGAGCCUACCAAGGCAUCGAUCAGUAGCUGGUCUGAGAGGAUGAUCAGCCACACUGGGACUGAGACACGGCCCAGACUCCUACGGGAGGCAGCAGUGGGGAAUUUUCCGCAAUGGGCGAAAGCCUGACGGAGCAACGCCGCGUGAGGGAUGAAGGCCUCUGGGCUGUAAACCUCUUUUCUCAAGGAAGAAGAUCUGACGGUACUUGAGGAAUAAGCCACGGCUAAUUCCGUGCCAGCAGCCGCGGUAAUACGGGGGUGGCAAGCGUUAUCCGGAAUUAUUGGGCGUAAAGCGUCCGCAGGCGGUCUUGAAAGUCUGUUGUUAAAGCGUGGAGCUUAACUCCAUUUCAGCAAUGGAAACUAGAAGACUAGAGUGUGGUAGGGGCAGAGGGAAUUCCCGGUGUAGCGGUGAAAUGCGUAGAUAUCGGGAAGAACACCAGUGGCGAAGGCGCUCUGCUGGGCCAUAACUGACGCUCAUGGACGAAAGCCAGGGGAGCGAAAGGGAUUAGAUACCCCUGUAGUCCUGGCCGUAAACGAUGAACACUAGGUGUCGGGGGAAUCGACCCCCUCGGUGUCGUAGCCAACGCGUUAAGUGUUCCGCCUGGGGAGUACGCACGCAAGUGUGAAACUCAAAGGAAUUGACGGGGGCCCGCACAAGCGGUGGAGUAUGUGGUUUAAUUCGAUGCAACGCGAAGAACCUUACCAGGGUUUGACAUCCUGCGAAUCCCUUGGAAACGAGGGAGUGCCUUCGGGAGCGCAGAGACAGGUGGUGCAUGGCUGUCGUCAGCUCGUGUCGUGAGAUGUUGGGUUAAGUCCCGCAACGAGCGCAACCCACGUCUUUAGUUGCCAGCAUUCAGUUGGGCACUCUAGAGAGACCGCCGGUGAUAAACCGGAGGAAGGUGUGGAUGACGUCAAGUCAUCAUGCCCCUUACAUCCUGGGCUACACACGUACUACAAUGCUACGGACAAAGGGCAGCAAACUCGCGAGAGCUAGCAAAUCCCAUAAACCGUGGCUCAGUUCAGAUCGUAGGCUGCAACUCGCCUACGUGAAGGAGGAAUCGCUAGUAAUCGCAGGUCAGCAUACUGCGGUGAAUACGUUCCCGGGCCUUGUACACACCGCCCGUCACACCAUGGAAGUUGGCCACGCCCGAAGUCGUUACUCCAACCCUUGUGGAGGAGGACGCCGAAGGUGGGGCUGAUGACUGGGGCG
rnacentral:rRNA from 1 species